rnacentral:lncRNA from 1 species
CGCGGGGCAGCAUGCACCAGGGCCACAGUCCAAUCCAACCGGCCACCUGUGUGUGGGCUUUGGUUCGUCUGGGUUUUCUUAUUGCCCCGAUCUAAGCAUAUUUUCUCACUCUUUAGUGGCUGGGGAAAGUCAAAAUAAGAAUAGGGUUUCAUGACCUGUGAAAAUGCUAUGAAAUUCGAAUGUCAGCGUCCUGAUGGAGUUCACUGGGACCCGGCCCAGCCCGAUCGCGCAGCGCUGCCUGCAGCUGCUUUCGCAACACGCAGGCCGGGUGGAGGAGUACUUGCAACAUGUGACCACAGCAGCUAGGAGUAUGUGCCACCAAACCGCUUGCAAAAAGGGUGGCCGUAUAGCUUAAUGGCAGAGGAGCCCUGAAGUGCAGUGCUGGGAGCCGUGGAGCCAGCAGCAGCACACACGGACCGCCUCUCGAGUCAGGAUGCGCGGUGGCCCGAUUGAAGAGCUGUGUCCACAUCUUUGAGGAGCACUCUACUCCCUCCUGGGAGACUGGCGAGAUCAUGAGGUGAAGGUGGCGGCAGGUGGACACCAAGCUGCCAGGAUACACUGGGCACUGGCAGCAGUGAACCCAAAGGCUCCGUACUCCAGAAUACCCCCAGCCCCCACCCUGUGAUUCCCCCACCGGGUAUCCCCCAUCCCAGUGUCCCCAUCACUACUGCCCUAGGACUGCUCUAGCCUCCUGGGGUGAUCACUGCCCACAGUGGAGGCUCCAGCUGCCCCAGGACGCGCAGGAAGAGGGACCCUGUGCUGUCCCAGCCUUGCGGCAUCUGUGCCCUUACAGGCCAGAGAGCCCCAGUCCCCUAAUGGAGCCAUGUGGAGGUGUCUGGGGGACUCGGGCCCCGUGACCUUCCCCUCUUGGGCUGGAUGAGCUCUAAGAGCCUGCACUUCUCUGCUUCCAGAAAGCUUGCUGCGCAGCCCUGGAACCCCAGAGCUGCACCAGCAGGGUGCCGUCUUGGUGUAGAGGGGACGAUGACGGUAGGAUGCUGCCAGCCUGGCAUGUGAUGCAGCCAGAAACAGGCAGGGGCAGCCCGGCGCAGAGUAGGUGCACAGUCACCCCUGGUGCCAGCCGCCAGCCCCAGGCCUGCUGCUGAGACCUCGGGCUUCCCUUC